rnacentral:rRNA from 1 species
UAACACGUGGACAACCUACCCUGUGGAGGGGGAUAACCCCGGAAAACUGGGGAUAAUACCCCAUAGGUUAGGGAGGCUGGAAUGCCCCCUAGCUCAAAGGUCCGCCGCCACAGGAUGGGUCUGCGGCCGAUUAGGUUGUUGUUGGGGUAACGGCCCAACAAGCCUUUGAUCGGUACGGGUUGUGGGAGCAAGAGCCCGGAGAUGGAUUCUGAGACACGAAUCCAGGCCCUACGGGGCGCAGCAGGCGCGAAAACUUUACAAUGCGAGAAAUCGUGAUAAGGGAACCCCGAGUGCCCGUAUAUUCGGGCUGUCCGCCAGUGCAAAAAACUGGUGAAGAAAGAGCCGGGCAAGACCGGUGCCAGCCGCCGCGGUAAUACCGGCGGCUCGAGUGGUGGCCACUAUUACUGGGCUUAAAGCGUCCGUAGCUUGGUUGUUAAGUCUCCUGGGAAAUCCAUCGGCUCAACCGAUGGGCGUUCAGGAGAUACUGGCAACCUAGGGACCGGGAGAGGUGAGAGGUACUCC